GACGAACGCUGGCGGCGUGCUUAACACAUGCAAGUCGAGCGGUAAGGCCCGUUUCGGGGGUACACGAGCGGCGAACGGGUGAGUAACACGUGGGUGACCUGCCCCUCAGCUCUGGGAUAAGCCUGGGAAACCGGGUCUAAUACUGGAUAUGACUCCAUGACGCAUGUUGUGGGGUGGAAAGCCUUGUGCGGCUGAGGAUGGGCCCGCGGCCUAUCAGCUUGGUUGGUGGGGUGANGGCCUACCAAGGCGACGACGGGUAGCCGGCCUGAGAGGGCGACCGGCCACACUGGGACUGAGACACGGCCCAGACU
rnacentral:rRNA from 1 species